rnacentral:rRNA from 1 species
UACGGGGGGGGCAAGCGUUUGUUCGGAAUUACUGGGCGUAAAGGGCUCGUAGGUGGCCAACUAAGUCAGGGGUGAAAUCCCGAGGCUCAACCUCGGAACUGCCUUUGAUACUGGCAAUCUCGAGUCCGGAAGAGGUGAGUGGAAUUCCUAGUGUAGAGGUGAAAAUUCGUAGAUAUUAGGAAGAACACCAGUGGCGAAAGGCGGCUCACUGGUCCGGUAC